GAUUCUGGCUCAGAACGAACGCUGGCGGCAUGCCUAAUACAUGCAAGUCGAACGAACUCUUCGGAGUUAGUGGCGCACGGGUGCGUAACGCGUGGGAAUCUGCCCUUGGGUUCGGAAUAACAGUUAGAAAUGACUGCUAAUACCGGAUGAUGACGAAAGUCCAAAGAUUUAUCGCCCAAGGAUGAGCCCGCGUAAGAUUAGCUUGUUGGUGAGGUAAAAGGCUCACCAAGGCUACGAUCUUUAGCUGGUCUGAGAGGAUGAUCAGCCACACUGGGACUGAGACACGGCCCAGACUCCUACGGGAGGCAGCAGUAGGGAAUAUUGGACAAUGGGGGCAACCCUGAUCCAAGCAAUGCCGCGUGAGUGAUGAAGGCCUUAGGGUUGUAAAGCUCUUUUACCCGAGAUGAUAAUGACAGUAUCGGGAGAAUAAGCUCCGGCUAACUCCGUGCCAGCCGCAGC
rnacentral:rRNA from 1 species